UUGGGCUCUUACCCUUAUGUGCAUGUCCUGAAAAAAAAUGAGGAGUGUUUGCCUGAUGAGCUGAAAUUCACCGGCAGAGAGACAGCUGUAAGUCUGGAAGAGAAAAACCAACAGAAACAGCACGUUCAUCUGAUUCAUUCUACACUGAGAACUGGGACACAGAGCUGCGAGGAUUGCUAUGAAUGCUCACCUGUGAAAACCAGGUACCUAGCCACAGAAGAAAAAAGGAAGUGGAACGUCGCUUCGCAAUGUCAACAUUUUUCUCACUCCCACACUGGUCUAAGUGAGCAGCACGACUGCUGCUGACUGUCCCCGGGGGCAGAAACGCUACUUGAGCUGCAGACAACAAACCCUGUUUUCCAGUGGGAAUAAGACUGGUUUUGUUGCUUUGUUUUUACAGCUACAGCUAGCACUAUUCACUUUUUAAAUAAGUUUGUUUCUAGGCUACCCUGACACGUAUUAUCUAUAAAAGCUACAGUUCUGCUUCCUAAGAUGACUGUUCUGCAUCGCUCUAAAUUUUUAUAAACUAUAGCUAGCUGACUCUGCCUGUUCUUUCUUCAGCCUUUGACACUAUUAGCCUAUUUUUCCUUCUAAACAGAAGCUUCUGAAUCAUCCAAGGCUCCCUGAAGUAUUUGUUACAAACGGAUUAACACUGACAAGUAUUUAAGGAAGCAUUUAUAACACCGGGAUCUAUGUCAGGCCAUCCAGGGCUCUUACACAGCAACAUCUGUGGAUACUAGAGCAGUUUAAAAGUGCAGAACUCUAAACUUCCUUACGUGUGCUUUGUUUUUUUUACAUUUAAAUUUAGACAUGGAAUUGUUAAGCGACUUAAGAGUAUGUAGAAAUUGGGAGUGCUGAGUAUAGAGGCUAUGCUCUGGUUAUCGAGCUUUUAAUGCAACGAAGAUAGAAAAUAUUUUGCAGUGAUUCAAGCGGGUGCAGCAUCUUAGCUUUUGUGCUGGAUCUGAUGAUUACUUAUGGUAACUCUGUAGAACUUAUCAGGUAUGUAAUAAAAGUAUUUAUUUCUCUAUCAAAAAAAUGUUAAAUAAAAAUUUAAAUUCACAGACA